GAUGAACGCUGGCGGCGUGCCUAAUACAUGCAAGUCGAGCGAAUGGAUUAAGAGCUUGCUCUUAUGAAGUUAGCGGCGGACGGGUGAGUAACACGUGGGUAACCUGCCCAUAAGACUGGGAUAACUCCGGGAAACCGGGGCUAAUACCGGAUAACAUUUUGAACCGCAUGGUUCGAAAUUGAAAGGCGGCUUCGGCUGGCACUUAUGGAUGGACCCGCGUCGCAUUAGCUAGUUGGUGAGGUAACGGCUCACCAAGGCAACGAGGCGUAGCCGAGCUGGGAGGCUGAGCGGCCACACCGGGACUGAGACACGGCCCAGACUCCUACGGGAGGCAUCAGUAGGGAAUCUUCCGCAAUGGACGAAAGUCUGACGGAGCAACGCCGCGUGAGUGAUGAAGGCUUUCGGGUCGUAAAACUCUGUUGUUAGGGAAGAACAAGUGCUAGUUGAAUAAGCUGGCACCUUGACGGUACCUAACCAGAAAGCCACGGCUAACUACGUGCCAGCCGCCGCGGUAA
rnacentral:rRNA from 1 species